rnacentral:rRNA from 1 species
UACGUAGGGUGCAAGCGUUGUCCGGAAUUAUUGGGCGUAAAGAGCUCGUAGGCGGUUUGUCGCGUCUGCUGUGAAAAUCCAGGGCUUAACCCUGGACCUGCAGUGGGUACGGGCAGACUGGAGUGCGGUAGGGGAGAUCGGAAUUCCUGGUGUAGCGGUGAAAUGCGUAGAUAUCGGGAGGAACACCAGUGGCGAAGGCGGCUAUCUGGGCUGCAACUGACGCUGAGGCGCGAAGGCUAGGGGAGCAAACAGG